rnacentral:rRNA from 1 species
CCUACGGGGGGCAGCAGUGAGGAAUAUUGCCCAAUGGACGCAAGUCUGAGGCAGCAACGCCGCGUGGAGGAUGAAGGUCUUUGGAUUGUAAACUCCUUUUCUCAGGGAAGAGCAGGGACGGUACCUGAGGAAUAAGUCACGGCUAACUACGUGCCAGCAGCCGCGGUAAUACGUAGGUGGCAAGCGUUAUCCGGAAUUACUGGGCGUAAAGCGCACGCAGGCGGUCUGUUAAGUUUGACGUGAAAGCUCCCGGCUUAACUGGGAGAGGUCGUUGAAGACUGGCAGGCUUGAGGCAAUGAGAGGGGUGUAGAAUUCCCGGUGUAGUGGUGGAAUGCGUAGAUAUCGGGGGGAAUACCAGUGGCGAAAGCGGCACCCUAGCGUUAGCCUGACGCUCAUGUGCGAAAGCGUGGGGAGCGAACGGGAUUAGAUACCCUUGUAGU